rnacentral:misc_RNA from 1 species
GAGGCGUGAGGCAGAGAGGCGUGGAGGCGUGAGGCAGAGAGGCGUGGAGGCGUGAAGCAGAGAGGCGUGGAGCGUGAGGCAGAGAGGCGUGGAGCGUGAGGCAGAGAGGCGUGGAGGCAGAGAGGCGUGGAGGCGUGAGGCAGAGAGGCGUGGGUGAGGCAGAGAGGCGUGCGACGUGUACAGCAGUAACGCUUGGAGGCGUGCGACGUCGUGUACAGCAGUAACGCUUCGAUUACACGUCAUAUUUUACUAUAUCGGAGCAAACUUUAGCAUAUAUGGGGAGCCAGUAUUCGACGAGGUGGGGAGAAUGGGCGGUAAAAUUUUGGAGGAAAUUAGAAUUGCUUGCUGAGUAAAGUAAGAUUGUUUUUUAAUUGGUUAUUUGCUAAACUCUACCUAUAUAUAUAUAACUAAAUCUACCUAUACAACUAAAUUUAAAUUCGGAGAUUUUAUGAAAUGAAAAAUAAGUAUUUUGUUGUUGGUGUGUAUAUUGUGUUUCAAACCGUAUAUGGCUGGCGACAUCACUUUUAAUUCGUUGAAUAAGGAGUAAUUUAUAGUAUGCAAGAAAUAUAUUUCAAUUUUAGGCGUUGGCGAGAGAAUUGUUCUGCAAAAAUUAUAUUCAAAAUAGAAAUUUAGUUAAAAUUGUUU